AACAACCUCAAUAUAGAGUCUAUGGGACGUUCUGUCCCUGGAUAUGUCCGCAGCCAUGUUUAUGGAGACCCCGUAUAGAAAUACCACAGUCGGCUUCAACAAAAUGGAUGCAAUAUUCUACUUAUUGGAGCAGACAUAUACAGAGAAUAUCCUUCCAUUAUAGUACGGGGGACAGAGCUGGAAUUACUCUGACGUCUAUGUAUGGCAUGGGAAUAGGAAAUGACUGUACUAGGAGCGGACAUACGGUACGGUGUGUAUCAUCAUGUAGGUGUAGGCUAUGCGGGAAGUGAGUGAGGACUACAUUUCCCAGGAUUCCCGGCUCUCCUCUGCUCCCACUGUUCCUUCAUGAUCUGUGAGGAGAGUUUGUCAGUACAGCUUGUUAUCACAAACAUUACAUUGCAUGAUGGCAGCAAAGAAAGAAAAACGAAGGAAGCACAUCAGAAAUGGCAAGAAUAUUCCACCAUAGCUAAACGCAGCCGCAUGUAAACGCAGCUAAUCGCAAUGUGCGAAUGCGAGUGUUCACUGUGCCUGGAGUCUUGGCAUUUCAAAAUAACAAAACCUGCUUUUAACAGCAGCAGAACAGCCGCCCGUGUGAAAGAGGCCUAACAGUCUGUACACUGUAGUAAACAGCCCCAGAAUGAGUAUCCAUCAUAAUACUUGCAGUGGCAGCCACAUGACCAUGCUCACUAAUGAUAAGUGCAUGUGAGGCUACUUCUGCUAAGGUUUCCCAGGAAAAAUAAGUGCUUCUCAUUGGUCAGCGCAGUCAUGUGGUCUCUCUGAGCAUUGAUCUGGGGUGGCCAAAAUAUUUGGAGUUCGUUCUCAUUUAAAAUUUUCUUGAAAAUGUGAAGUUGCCCAUUAACACAAUGCACUUGGAAAAGCAACACAACUGCACCGGAUCAAUGCAGGUCACUGCAAGGGCCGAGAGGAAACAAUUGUUUUUAUUUUUUUUGUGACCCAUUCACACCACAAUAUUGUGUACACGUGCAUUGCAUUAAAGGACUUAUUCAUGCUGCUUGCAUGCUAAAUA